UGUAACUCAGUCCAGGAGAGGUGUAUCAUCUCUGUAAGGUUACUGUAACUCAGUCCAGGAGAGGUGUAUCAUCUCUGUAAGGUUACUGUAACUCAGUCCAGGAGAGGUGUAUCAUCUCUGUAAGGUUACUGUAACUCAGUCCAGGAGAGGUGUAUCAUCUCUGUAAGGUUACUGUAACUCAGUCCAGGAGAGGUGUAUCAUCUCUGUAAGGUUACUGUCACUCAGUCCAGGAGAGGUGUAUCAUCUCUGUAAGGUUACUGUAACUCAGUCCAGGAGAGGUGUAUCAUCUCUGUAAGGUUACUGUAACUCAGUCCAGGAGAGGUGUAUCAUCUCUGUAGGGUUACUGUAACUCAGUCCAGGAGAGGUGUAUCAUCUCUGUAGGGUUACUGUAACUCAGUCCAGGAGAGGUGUAUCAUCUCUGUAAGGUUACUGUAACUCAGUCCAGGAGAGGUGUAUCAUCUCUGUAAGGUUACUGUAACUCAGUCCAGGAGAGGUGUAUCAUCUCUGUAAGGUUACUGUAACUCAGUCCAGGAGAGGUGUAUCAUCUCUGUAAGGUUACUGUAACUCAGUCCAGGAGAGGUGUAUCAUCUCUGUAAGGUUACUGUAACUCAGUCCAGGAGAGGUGUAUCAUCUCUGUAGGGUUACUGUAACUCAGUCCAGGAGAGGUGUAUCAUCUCUGUAGGGUUACUGUAACUCAGUCCAGGAGAGGUGUAUCAUCUCUGUAAGGUUACUGUAACUCAGUCCAGGAGAGGUGUAUCAUCUCUGUAAGGUUACUGUAACUCAGUCCAGGAGAGGUGUAUCAUCUCUGUAAGGUUACUGUAACUCAGUCCAGGAGAGGUGUAUCAUCUCUGUAGGGUUACUGUCACUCAGUCCAGGAGAGGUGUAUCAUCUCUGUAGGGUUACUGUCACUCAGUCCAGGAGAGGUGUAUCAUCUCUGUAGGGUUACUGUAACUCAGUCCAGGAGAGGUGUAUCAUCUCUGUAAGGUUACUGUAACUCAGUCCAGGAGAGGUGUAUCAUCUCUGUAGGGUUACUGUAACUCAGUCCAGGAGAGGUGUAUCAUCUCUGUAGGGUUACUGUCACUCAGUCCAGGAGAGGUGUAUCAUCUCUGUAGGGUUACUGUAACUCAGUCCAGGAGAGGUGUAUCAUCUCUGUAGGGUUACUGUCACUCAGUCCAGGAGAGGUGUAUCAUCUCUGUAAGGUUACUGUAACUCAGUCCAGGAGAGGUGUAUCAUCUCUGUAAGGUUACUGUAACUCAGUCCAGGAGAGGUGUAUCAUCUCUGUAAGGUUAC